rnacentral:rRNA from 1 species
UACAGAGGUCUCAAGCGUUGUUCGGAUUCAUUGGGCGUAAAGGGUGCGUAGGCGGCGCGGUAAGUCAGGUGUGAAAUCUUGGAGCUUAACUCCGAAACUGCAUUCGAUACUGCCGUGCUUGAGGACUGGAGAGGAGACUGGAAUUUACGGUGUAGCGGUGAAAUGCGUAGAUAUCGUAAGGAAGACCAGUGGCGAAGGCGGGGCUCUGGACAGUUCCUGACGCUGAAGCACGAAGGCCAGGGGAGCAAACGGG